rnacentral:rRNA from 1 species
CCUACGGGAGGCUGCAGUGGGGAAUAUUGGACAAUGGGCGAAAGCCUGAUCCAGCCAUGCCGCGUGUGUGAAGAAGGCCUUCGGGUUGUAAAGCACUUUCAGUGGGGAAGAAAGCCUUGGGGCUAAUACCCUCGAGGAAGGACAUCACCCACAGAAGAAGCACCGGCUAACUCCGUGCCAGCAGCCGCGGUAAUACGGAGGGUGCGAGCGUUAAUCGGAAUUACUGGGCGUAAAGCGCGCGUAGGCGGUCUGAUAAGCCGGUUGGGAAAGCCCCGGGCUCAACCUGGGAACGGCAUCCGGAACUGUCAGGCUAGAGUGCAGGAGAGGAAGGUAGAAUUCCCGGUGUAGCGGUGAAAUGCGUAGAGAUCGGGAGGAAUACCAGUGGCGAAGGCGGCCUUCUGGACUGACACUGACGCUGAGGUGCGAAAGCGUGGGUAGCAAACAGGAUUAGAUACCCCAGUGUC